rfam:Dipodomys ordii contig_49287, whole genome shotgun sequence.
GGGAAGGUGGCUCAGUGGUAGAGUGCUUGCCUUGCUAGCAUUAGGCUCUGAGUUCGAUUCCUCAGCCCCA